rnacentral:rRNA from 1 species
UACGAAGGGGGCUAGCGUUGCUCGGAAUCACUGGGCGUAAAGCGCACGUAGGCGGCUUGUUAAGUCAGGGGUGAAAUCCUGGAGCUCAACUCCAGAACUGCCUUUGAUACUGGCGAGCUUGAGUCCGGGAGAGGUGAGUGGAACUGCGAGUGUAGAGGUGAAAUUCGUAGAUAUUCGCAAGAACACCAGUGGCGAAGGCGGCUCACUGGGCUAGCACUGACGCUCAGGCACGAAAGCGUGGGGAGCAAACAGG